GUUAUAGGGUCAAGCGAACAAGUGCAUGUGGUGGAUGCCUUGGCGAUCACAGGCGAUGAAGGACGCGGUAGCCUGCGAAAAGCUACGGGGAGCUGGCAAACGAGCUUUGAUC
rnacentral:rRNA from 1 species